rnacentral:rRNA from 1 species
UAGGGAAUCUUCGGCAAUGGGGGCAACCCUGACCGAGCAACGCCGCGUGAGUGAAGAAGGUUUUCGGAUCGUAAAGCUCUGUUGUAAGAGAAGAACGUGUGUGAGAGUGGAAAGUUCACACAGUGACGGUAACUUACCAGAAAGGGACGGCUAACUACGUGCCAGCAGCCGCGGUAAUACGUAGGUCCCGAGCGUUGUCCGGAUUUAUUGGGCGUAAAGCGAGCGCAGGCGGUUUAAUAAGUCUGAAGUUAAAGGCAGUGGCUUAACCAUUGUUCGCUUUGGAAACUGUUAAACUUGAGUGCAGAAGGGGAGAGUGGAAUUCCAUGUGGAGCGGUGAAAUGCGUAGAUAUAUGGAGGAACACCGGUGGCGAAAGCGGCUCUCUGGUCUGUAACUGACGCUGAGGCUCGAAAGCGUGGGGAGCAAACAGG